UCUGAGGACCAGGGAGAAUGCCUGGACCAUGCCGUGACAGAUCGUGAUCACGGGCAUCUGGCGCUGCGGGGUGUCCUCUGAGGGGGCCGCAGAUGCAGGUUCAGGGUGGGGGUCGUGUGUCAUGGGCAGGCGUGUGUGUCCUGGG
ensembl:miRNA eca-mir-9068 eca-mir-9068